GGCGUGCUUACACAUGCAAGUCGAGUGCGCGGUGCCAUAGCAAUACGGUACUGGCGCACGGCGCACGGGUGCGUAACACGUGGGUAAUCUGCCCUCUGAUGGGGAAUAACCCGCCGAAAGGCGGGCUAAUACCGCAUAAUAUUCCUUGGACUCCGGUUUGAGGACUCAAAGCCGUAAGGCGUCGGAGGUGGAGCCCGCGCACGAUUAGCUAGUUGGUAGGGUAACGGCCUACCAAGGCUAUGAUCGUUAGCUGGUCUGAGAGGAUGGCCAGCCACACUGGAACUGAGACACGGUCCAGACUCCUACGGGAGGCAGCAGUGGGGAAUCUUGCGCAAUGGGCGAAAGCCUGACGCAGCGACGCCGCGUGGGGGAUGAAGCUUCUCGGAGUGUAAACCCCUUUCGACCGGGACGAAUACCUCGCAAGAGGGGUGACGGUACCGGUAUAAGAAGCCCCGGCUAACUAC
rnacentral:rRNA from 1 species